rnacentral:rRNA from 1 species
UACAGAGGUCUCAACCGUUGUUCGGAUUCAUUGGGCGUAAAGGGCGCGUAGGCGGCCGCACAAGUCAGGGGUGAAAUCUUUCGGCUCAACCGGAAAAGUGCCUCUGAUACUGUGCGGCUCGAGUGAGGUAGGGGCGGACGGAACUUCCGGUGGAGCGGUGAAAUGCGUUGAUAUCGGAAGGAACGCCGGUGGCGAAGGCGGCGAUCUGGACGAUGACUGACGCUGAGACGCGAAAGCGUGGGGAGCAAACAGG